UACGUAGGGUGCAAGCGUUAAUCGGAAUUACUGGGCGUAAAGCGUGCGCAGGCGGCUAUGCAAGACAGAUGUGAAAUCCCCGGGCUCAACCUGGGAACUGCAUUUGUGACUGCAUGGCUAGAGUACGGUAGAGGGGGAUGGAAUUCCGCGUGUAGCAGUGAAAUGCGUAGAUAUGCGGAGGAACACCGAUGGCGGAAGGCAAUCCCCUGGACCUGUACUGACGCUCAUGCACGAAAG
rnacentral:rRNA from 1 species